rnacentral:rRNA from 1 species
CCUACGGGAGGCAGCAGUGAGGAAUAUUGGUCAAUGGACGCAAGUCUGAACCAGCCAUGCCGCGUGCAGGAAGACGGCUCUAUGAGUUGUAAACUGCUUUUGUACGAGGGUAAACUCCGAUACGCGUAUCUUUCUGAACGUAUCGUACGAAUAAGGAUCGGCUAACUCCGUGCCAGCAGCCGCGGUAAUACGGAGGGUUCAAGCGUUAUCCGGAUUUAUUGGGUUUAAAGGGUGCGUAGGCGGUCGGAUAAGUUAGAGGUGAAAUCCCGAGGCUCAACCUCGGAAUUGCCGCUGAUACUGUUGGGCUAGAGAGUAGGUGCGGUAGGCGGAAUGUAUGGUGUAGCGGUGAAAUGCUUAGAGAUCAUACAGAACACCGAUUGCGAAGGCAGCUUACCAAGGUACGACUGACGCUGAGGCACGAAAGCGUGGGGAGCAAACAGGAUUAGAUACCCUUGUAGUC